CACUAUUGAUCCUGGUCCUAUUUUGUCCUAUGGUCACUAUGGUGUAAGGAGGUAUGGUAGGACUUGCUGGCCAUUCGAUGGCAGCCCGUUUGUCGUUCUACCCCGAGUGGUAGACGAAGGAUCCUAUAUUGAUUUUACCAGGGUGGUAAGUCAAUGGUCACAAUUGGUCCUUAUAUCUUGGUCCUUAUAUUUUGAUCCUUAUAU
rnacentral:lncRNA from 1 species